rnacentral:rRNA from 1 species
CCUACGGUGGGCUGCAGUGGGGAAUAUUGGGCAAUGGGCGCAAGCCUGACCCAGCAACGCCGCGUGAGCGAUGAAGGUCUUCGGAUUGUAAAGCUCUGUCGCAGGGGACGAAGUAUGACGGUACCUGACUAAGAAGCCCCGGCUAACUACGUGCCAGCAGCCGCGGUAAUACGUAGGGGGCGAGCGUUAUCCGGAUUUACUGGGUGUAAAGGGAGCGUAGACGGUUCUGCAAGUCUGAAGUGAAAGCCCGUGGCUUAACCGCGGAACGGCUUUGGAAACUGUGGAACUGGAGUGCUGGAGAGGCAAGCGGAAUUCCUAGUGUAGCGGUGAAAUGCGUAGAUAUUAGGAGGAACACCAGUGGCGAAGGCGGCUUGCUGGACAGUAACUGACGUUGAGGCUCGAAAGCGUGGGGAGCAAACAGGAUUAGAUACCCUGGUAGUC